UACGUAGGUGGCGAGCGUUGUCCGGAUUUACUGGGCGUAAAGAGCGCGCAGGCGGUCGUUCAAGUCGCGUGUGAAAGCCCCCGGCUCAACUGGGGAGGGUCACGCGAUACUGAUCGACUCGAAGGCAGGAGAGGGAAGUGGAAUUCCCGGUGUAGUGGUGAAAUGCGUAGAUAUCGGGAGGAACACCAGUGGCGAAGGCGACUUCCUGGCCUGUUCUUGACGCUGAGGAACGAAAGCGUGGGGAGCGAACAGG
rnacentral:rRNA from 1 species